CCUACGGGAGGCAGCAGUGGGGGAUAUUGCACAAUGGGGGAAACCCUGAUGCAGCGACGCCGCGUGUGGGAAGACGGUCAUCUGGAUUGUAAGCCACUGUCCCCAGUGACGAAGAUGACGGUACCUGGGGCGGAAGCUCCGGCUAACUACGUGCCAGCAGCCGCGGUAAUACGUAGGGAGCGAGCGUUGUCCGGAAUUACUGGGUGUAAAGGGAGCGUAGGCGGGGAUGCAAGUUGGGUGUAAAAACUACUGGCUCAACUGGUAGUCGCACUCAAAACUGCAGCUCUUGAGUGAAGUAGAGGCAGGCGGAAUUCCUGGUGUAGCGGUGAAAUGCGUAGAUAGUAGGAGGAACACCAGUGGCGAAGGCGGCCUGCUGGUCUUUUACUGACGCUGAGGCUCGAAAGUGUGGGGAGCAAACAGGAUUAGAUACCCUUGUAGUC
rnacentral:rRNA from 1 species